AGCUGUGGGUGCAAUCUGGAUAGAACAUCUGUUACCCCAUUGAUUACCAAAGUUGAAUCAACUGAUCUGUCUGGCUUGGCAAGUGUCCCCGUGCUUCCCCACACCAUCAUGAGUCUCCUUCUCAAAGCUAAACUCUUGAUAAAACAACCUGCCUGGAUAGAGGAGGACCAUCUUUCGGUCAAGAUGAUAUGAAUAGCUGCUCUCCCCAACUUGAACCCCCAGACAAGCUCUAGGUAGCCCAUUUUCACUCCACAUAAAGGCCCUCGUGUUGGCAUGGGCAGGAAAGUCCUGAAAACCCCAUUCCUUGCCUCCUAGGUUUUCAAUGCCCCAAAGCCAAAGUGGACCCAGCUGUCUGGGAGGAAGCUUCAGAA
ensembl:misc_RNA Gm24757 predicted gene, 24757